GUGAAUCAUCAAAUCUUUGAACGCAAAUUGCACUCUCUUCGGAGAGUAUGCCCGUUCGAGUGCCAGCAUUAAUAAAAAUCGGAGUGUUGCUUCUUUGUGACGCUCCGGAGUUUGGGUUACUUUAAUAUCCUCUAGGUUUUAAGAGGCAUAAAAUUGACUUUUUUUGCGCAUCAUAGAUGUACAUAAAUUCUUUUUCUUAUUCGUCCGUCUUAAUGCCCAAAAUCCUAUACGUUGCGACCAUUUC
rnacentral:misc_RNA from 1 species